rnacentral:rRNA from 1 species
AUUGAACGCUGGCGGCAGGCUUAACACAUGCAAGUCGAGCGGGGAAAGGUAGCUUGCUACUUUACCUAGCGGCGGACGGGUGAGUAAUGCUUAGGAAUCUGCCUAUUAGUGGGGGACAACAUCUCGAAAGGGAUGCUAAUACCGCAUACGUCCUACGGGAGAAAGCAGGGGACCUUCGGGCCUUGCGCUAAUAGAUGAGCCUAAGUCGGAUUAGCUAGUUGGGGGGGUAAAGGCCUACCAAGGCGACGAUCUGUAGCGGGUCUGAGAGGAUGAUCCGCCACACUGGGACUGAGACACGGCCCAGACUCCUACGGGAGGCAGCAGUGGGGAAUAUUGGACAAUGGGGGGAACCCUGAUCCAGCCAUGCCGCGUGUGUGAAGAAGGCCUUUUGGUUGUAAAGCACUUUAAGCGAGGAGGAGGCUACCGAGAUUAAUACUCUUGGAUAGUGGACGUUACUCGCAGAAUAAGCACCGGCUAACUCUGUGCCAGCCGCCGCCGUAACAC